rnacentral:rRNA from 1 species
AGGACGAACGCUGGCGGCGUGCUUAACACAUGCAAGUCGAGCGGAAAGGCCCUUCGGGGUACUCGAGCGGCGAACGGGUGAGUAACACGUGGGCAACCUGCCCCGAGCUCUGGGAUAACUCCGGGAAACCGGGGCUAAUACCGGAUACGACCCGAGAAGACAUCUUCUCGGGUGGAAAGUUUUUCGGCUCGGGAUGGGCCCGCGGCCUAUCAGCUUGUUGGUGGGGUAACGGCCUACCAAGGCGACGACGGGUAGCCGGCCUGAGAGGGCGACCGGCCACACUGGGACUGAGACACGGCCCAGACUCCUACGGGAGGCAGCAGUGGGGAAUAUUGCGCAAUGGGCGAAAGCCUGACGCAGCGACGCCGCGUGAGGGAUGAAGGCCUUCGGGUUGUAAACCUCUUUCAGCAGGGACGAAGCGAAAGUGACGGUACCUGCAGAAGAAGCACCGGCCAACUACGCGCCAGCAGCCGC